UACGUAGGGUGCGAGCGUUAAUCGGAAUUACUGGGCGUAAAGCGUGCGCAGGCGGUAAGUUAAGUCUGAUGUGAAAGCCCCGGGCUCAACCUGGGAAUGGCAUUGGAAACUGGCUUGCUGGAGUGUGGCAGAGGGGGGUGGAAUUCCGCGUGUAGCAGUGAAAUGCGUAGAGAUGCGGAGGAACACCGAUGGCGAAGGCAGCCCCCUGGGCCAACACUGACGCUGAGGCGCGAAAGCAUGGGGAGCGAACGGG
rnacentral:rRNA from 1 species